rnacentral:rRNA from 1 species
CCUGACUGCUAUCGGAUUGAUACUAAGCCAUGCGAGUCAUUGUAGCAAUACAAGGCAGACGGCUCAGUAACGCGUAGUCAAUCUACCCUAUGGACGGGAAUAACCUCGGGAAACUGAGAAUAAUGCCCGAUAGAACAUUAUGCCUGGAAUGGUUUAUGUUUCAAAUGAUUUAUCGCCAUAGGAUGGGACUGCGGCCUAUCAGUUUGUUGGUGAGGUAAUGGCCCACCAAGACUAUUACAGGUACGGGCUCUGAGAGGAGUAGCCCGGAGAUGGGUACUGAGACACGGACCCAGGCCCUAUGGGGCGCAGCAGGCGAGAAAACUUUGCAAUGUGCGAAAGCACGACAAGGUUAAUCCGAGUGGUUUCUGCUAAAGAGACCUUUUGUCAGUCCUAGAAACACUAACGAAUAAGGGGUGGGCAAGUUCUGGUGUCAGCCGCCGCGGUAAAACCAGCACCUCAAGUGGUCAGGAUGAUUAUUGGGCCUAAAGCAUCCGUAGCUCGUUUUGUAAGUUUUCGGUUAAAUCCAUGCGCUUAACGUAUGGGCUGCCGGGAAUACUGCAUAACUAGGAAGUGGGAGAGGAAGACGGUACCCGGGAGGAAGGGGUAAAAUCCUUUGAUCUCUUGAUGACCACCUGUGGCGAAGGCGGUCUACCAGAACACGUUCGACGGUGAGGGAUGAAAGCUGGGGGAGCAAACCGGAUUAGAUACCCGGGUAGUCCCAGCUGUAAACUAUGCAAACUCAGUGAUGCAUUGGCUUAUGGCCAAUGCAGUGCUGCAGGGAAGCCGUUAAGUUUGCCGCCUGGGAAGUACGUACGCAAGUAUGAAACUUAAAGGAAUUGGCGGGGGAGCACCACAAGGGGUGAAGCCUGCGGUUCANUUGGAUUCACGCC